rnacentral:lncRNA from 1 species
AGCAAGCGUCACCUUUAAAAAACGGGCUGCUUGCAGAGAGCGAGGAAUCUCCCUGUGCUUGUGCUCCUAAUGAGCUUUGCAACUGCUGCCUUCAUCCCCAAUAACAGACACAACAGCCCACCGCAGAAGUAGUCCCCAGCAGAAGUUUCACCACGUAGUUACAGCAUUAUGGUUACAGCUGGAUAGGACUGCGACGUGGGUGCGGACAACCUUCCUCCCUGGGGCAUGGUGCCCCGAGGCUCCUGUUCUCAUUCCUGGUGAUAUAUAAAGCUCUGGUGUCAUACGUUCCUGCUCCUUUGUCCCAGUUCUCCCAUCAAGGCAAGCUGAAACCAAGCUUCUGCUGUUGAUUUCUGGAACACAGACACUACAGCCCUGGAAGACAAAUGGUAAGUUACAAAAUAGGGAUCAGGAUAAUUUUUUUAUAUUAGCAGCUUAUCCAGCUGUCCUGGAAAGGGUUAGAAAUUAGUCCUAAAAAAAUAACUCUGCAAUAGCUGUUAAUGAAAGUUCUUCUGUUGUACCCUUAAUUAUUUAUAUGCAUCAGGAAAUAAAUGCAUCAUGUUCACUGUCCA